rnacentral:rRNA from 1 species
GUUAGUUGACUCGUGCACGAGACACGCUGGCGGCGUGCUUAACACAUGCAAGUCGAACGAUGAAGAACAGCACUUGUGUUGUUUGGAUUAGUGGCGAACGGGUGAGUAACACGUGAGUAACCUGCCCUCCACUUUGGGAUAACCAUUGGAAACGGUGGCUAAUACUGGAUAGGACAACUACUCGCAUGGGUGGUUGUGGAAAGCUUUAGUGGUCGGGGGAUGGACUCGCGGCCUAUCAGCUUGUUGGUGGGGUAAUGGCCUACCAAGGCGACGACGGGUAGCCGGCCUGAGAGGGCGACCGGCCACACUGGGACUGAGACACGGCCCAGACUCCUACGGGAGGCAGCAGUGGGGAAUAUUGCACAAUGGGCGAAAGCCUGAUGCAGCGACGCCGCGUGGGGGAUGAAGGCCUUCGGGUUGUAAACCCCUUUCAGUAGGGAACAAGGCCAUGCUUUUGUGUGGUUGAGGGUACUUGCAGAAGAAGCGCCGGCUAACUACGUG